AACGCUGAGCAAAGGAAGGAACUUAAAAGGAGAGGUCAAAAGAGAAGGAGGCCUAGAGAGAGAACUGACACAGUUCUUCAAGGCCGCGGGGAAUGGUGGUGUGUUGGGUUUGGGAGAAGUGGGCUGGUUUCUCAGCCUAACCUGAGCUUCCGCUGUCCCCAGGGGGAUGGCAUCCACUGCUACCAGGAAUAUGGAGAAAAUGGGCAGCGGGCAAUCCCAAGCCACAGACUCUGCAGCCUGCUUGGCUGGAGGUCCGGGAGCUCUGCCUAGCAACUUGACAUCUGGAGGAUGAUCCCAACUCUGGUGCUGCUCUUGGCCUCUCGUGCCCUCUCCCCGCUCUGUUCCUCUAGAACAUGCACCAAAACUCCUCUUUCACAACUCAUUCAACAGUUUGGUUUUGGGGCGAUUCCUGGUCAUGAGCAACAUCACCCCUGAAGCCUCCAAAGGGUUCUGGAACCAUCACACACCUCUCCACCCUCAGCUAGCAAGGACACCACCAGAAAUCAAAAACUUUAAUAAAGUGACAGAGAUCCUUCCCUCC